rnacentral:rRNA from 1 species
UACGUAGGGUGCGAGCGUUGUCCGGAAUUACUGGGCGUAAAGAGCUCGUAGGUGGUUUGUCGCGUUGUUCGUGAAAACUCACAACUCAAUUGUGGGCGUGCGGGCGAUACGGGGCAGACUGGAGUACUGCAGGGGAGACUGGAAUUCCUGGUGUAGCGGUGGAAUGCGCAGAUAUCAGGAGGAACACCGGUGGCGAAGGCGGGUCUCUGGGCCGAUACUGACGCUGAGGAGCGAAAGCGUGGGGAGCGAACAGG